rnacentral:ncRNA from 1 species
GUUUUGGUCCUAAACUUGCCCUUGUUUUUUACCAAAAUUAUACAUGCAAGCCUCCACACACCAGUGAGAAUGCCCACACACCCCCAAACAGCAAACCGGAGCCGGCAUCAGGAUACAACACUAACAUUUAGCCAAUGACGCCUUGCACACGCCACACCCACACGGGCUUUCAGCAGUAAUUAACAUUAAAACAUGAGCGAAAGCUCGAAUUAGUUAUGGUAAACAUGGUCGGUAAAUUUCGUGCCAGCCACCGCGGUUAUACGAAAGACCAAAAACAAAGGCCCCCGGCGUAAAGAGUGACUAAAGAACUUAUUGACCUAGAGGAGAACGGCCGCUAAGUAGUAAAACACCAACGCACGCCAGAAUUACAACACUGCCUCUAAUUCCACUUUACCUCACGAAAGCUAAGAAACAAACUGGGAUUAGAUACCCCACUAUGCCUAGCCCUAAACAUAGACAGCCACCCAUACAAAACUGUUCGCCAGAGAACUACAAACGAAAAGCUUAAAACUCCAAGGACUUGGCGGUGCUUCAAACCAACCUAGAGGAGCCUGUCCUAUAAUCGAUACCCCACGCUUUACCUUACCCCUCCUAGCCAAACAGCCUAUAUACCGCCGUCGUCAGCCUACCUUAUGAAAGAAAUAAAGUAAGCAAAAAAGUUAAAAACUAACACGUCAGGUCAAGGUGUAGCACACGGAGGGGCAGAGAUGGGCUACAUUUUCUCAAAGAGAAAACACAAAUGGUGAACUGAAACACACACCUGAAGGAGGAUUUAGCAGUAAAAUCACUAAGAAUAGUCAUUUUAAACCUGCUCUGAAGCGCGCACACACCGCCCGUC